AUGGAAGAAGAAAUUGAUGAAACUGUGAGCUCAUUGGAUGAAAAAGAUGAUGAGGAGAGUGAAGAACAAAAGGAGGAAGAGCGGAUUAGCUACUCGUGCCCACCUUCUAAUGAGAGUAACCCUCCUCAUACAUUAUUUAAUGUCCCUUCAUGCUUACCAAAGGAUGAUUGCUAUGAUAAUUGCUAUGGUCCCGUUGAUUCUUUUGAAAUAUCCCUUUUUGAUGAACUUGAUGCUUGCUAUGCUUGUGGCCAAGAUACCAAUAUGAAUGUUUCUUAUGGAGAUGAACUUGCUAUUGUUCCUUAUGUUAAGAAUUAA
rnacentral:rRNA from 1 species